UACGUAGAGUGCGAGCGUUAUUCGGAAUUACUGGGCGUAAAGCGUGCGCAGGCGGUUUUGUAAGCCAGAUGUGAAAGCCCCGGGCUUAACCUGGGAAUGGCAUUUGGGACUGCAAGGCUGGAGUGUGGCAGAGGAGACUGGAAUUCCUGGUGUAGCAGUGAAAUGCGUAGAUAUCAGGAGGAAUACCGAUGGCGAAGGCAGGUCUCUGGGCUGACACUGACGCUCAUGCACGAAAGCGUGGGGAGCAAACAGG
rnacentral:rRNA from 1 species